rnacentral:rRNA from 1 species
GGUCUGGUUGGGCGGUCCGCUUAACGGCGUGUACUGUUCGACUGGAUCUUACCUCUUGGUGAGCCAGUGUGCCCUUUAUUGGUGUGCAUUGGGGAACCAGGACUUUUACCUUGAGAAAAUUAGAGUGUUCAAAGCAGGCCUAUGUCUGAAUACAUUAGCAUGGAAUAAUAGAAUAGGACU